UACGGAGGGGGCUAGCGUUGUUCGGAAUUACUGGGCGUAAAGCGCGCGUAGGCGGACCUGCAAGUCGGGGGGUGAAAGCCCGAGGCUCAACCUCGGAACUGCCUUCGAUACUGCGGGUCUCGAGUCCGGGAGAGGUGAGUGGAAUUCCUAGUGUAGAGGUGAAAUGCGCAGAUAUCAGGAAGAACACCCGUGGCGAAGGCGGCUCUCUGGGACGGUACUGACGCUGAGACGCGAAAGCGUGGGGAGCGAACAGG
rnacentral:rRNA from 1 species